AACGAACGCUGGCGGCAGGCUUAACACAUGCAAGUCGAGCGGGCCCGCGAGGGUCAGCGGCGGACGGGUUAGUAACGCGUGGGAACGUGCCCUUUGCUCUGGAAUAGCCCUGGGAAACUGGGGGUAAGACCGGAUGUGCCCCGUUGUGGCGACACGGAGGGGGAAAGAUUCAUCGGCAAGGGAUCGGCCCGCGUCCGAUUAGGUAGUUGGUGCGGUAACGGCGCACCAAGCCGUCGAUCGGUAGCUGGUUUGAGAGGAUGAUCAGCAACACUGGGACUGAGACACGGCCCAGACUCCUACGGGAGGCAGCAGUGGGGAAUCUUGGACAAUGGGGGCAACCCUGAUCCAGCCAUGCCGCGUGGGUGAUGAAGGCCUUAGGGUCGUAAAGCCCUUUCGCUGGGGAAGACAAUGACGGUACCCAGAGAAGAAGCCCCGGCUAACUCCGUGCCAGCCGCCGCAGUAAAAC
rnacentral:rRNA from 1 species